CCGGACCGGCGCACGGGUGAGUAACACGUAUGCAACCUGCCCUCUUCAGGGGGACAACCUUCCGAAAGGGAGGCUAAUCCCGCGUAUAUCGGUUUCGGGCAUCCGAGAUCGAGGAAAGAUUCAUCGGAAGAGGAUGGGCAUGCGGCGCAUUAGCUAGGCGGCGGGGUAACGGCCCACCGUGGCGACGAUGCGUAGGGGUUCUGAGAGGAAGGUCCCCCACACUGGUACUGAGACACGGACCAGACUCCUACGGGAGGCAGCAG
rnacentral:rRNA from 1 species